rnacentral:snoRNA from 1 species
GGCCUCCUGGUGCUUACCACAGACUGUGUUUUUACACUGACUGUAUAGAAAGAGGAGGUAAAGCAAACAUGCCCCAUGUACACCCCAGCCUAGGCCACUGUGUCUGGUCUGUAUUGUGAAUGGGGCGACAUGG